CAAAAUUAGCGGAUGAGCUGUGGAUAGGGGUGAAAGGCUAAACAAACUUGGAAAUAGCUGGUUCUCUCCGAAAACUAUUUAGGUAGUGCCUCAAGUAUUACCAUCGGGGGUAGAGCACUGUUAUGGCUAGGGGGUCAUGGCGACUUACCAAACCAUUGCAAACUCCGAAUACCGAUGAGUACAGCUUGGGAGACAGAGCACCGGGUGCUAACGUCCGGACUCAAGAGGGAAACAACCCAGACCGCCAGCUAAGGUCCCCAAAAUUGGCUAAGUGGGAAACGAAGUGGGAAGGCUAAAACAGUCAGGAUGUUGGCUUAGAAGCAGCCAUCAUUUAAAGAAAGCGUAAUAGCUCACUGAUCGAGUCGUCCUGCGCGGAAGAUGUAACGGGGCUAAGCCAGUUACCGAAGCUGCGGAUGUGCAAUUUAUUGCAUGUGGUAGGAGAGCGUUCUGUAAGCCUGUGAAGGUGGCUUGUGAAGGCUGCUGGAGGUAUCAGAAGUGCGAAUGCUGACAUGAGUAGCGUUAAAGGGGGUGAAAAGCCCCCUCGCCGAAAGCGCAAGGUUUCCUACGCAACGUUCAUCGGCGUAGGGUGAGUCGGCCCCUAAGGCGAGGCAGAGAUGCGUAGCUGAUGGGAAACAGGUCAAUAUUCCUGUACCGAUUGCAAGUUCGAUGUGGGGACGGAGAAGGUUAGCUCAGCCAACUGUUGGAUAUGUUGGUUCAAGCGUGUAGUCGUGUCUCUUAGGCAAAUCCGGGAGAAUUAGAUGAGGCGUGAUAACGAGUCUGCUUGCAGACGAAGUGAGUGAUACCCUGCUUCCAAGAAAAGCCACUAAGCUUCAGCUUGUAAUUGACCGUACCGCAAACCGACACUGGUGCGCGAGAUGAGUAUUCUAAGGCGCUUGAGAGAACUCUGGAGAAGGAACUCGGCAAAUUGACACCGUAACUUCGGAAGAAGGUGUGCCUUUAGUAGGUGAACCAUUUACUUGGGGAGCCCAAUGAGGCCGCAGAGAAUCGGUGGCUGCAACUGUUUAUUAAAAACACAGCACUCUGCAAAGACGAAAGUCGACGUAUAGGGUGUGACUCCUGCCCGGUGCUGGAAGAUUAAAUGAUGGGGUGCAAGCUCUUGACUGAAGUCCCAGUAAACGGCGGCCGUAACAAUAACGGUCCUAAGGUAGCGAAAUUCCUUGUCGGGUAAGUUCCGACCUGCACGAAUGGAGUAAUGAUGGCCACACUGUCUCCUCCAGAGACUCAGCGAAGUUGAAAUGUUUGUGAUGAUGCAAUCUCCCCGCGGAAAGACGGAAAGACCCCAUGAACCUUUACUGUAGCUUUACAUUGGACUUUGAACAGAUCUC
rnacentral:rRNA from 1 species